CCUAGACAAAAAAAAUUUAGCAUUGCCUGGGUAUUAAGCUAAAACUAGUACUGUCGGAAAAAGGUCUAGUUCUAUGCUAGUUCUGAGCUAGUCAGAUUUUCUGCAGGGUAUGUACAUACAUAAACGUCAACAUGACAUCAACUUAUGAAAGUUUAUCCAAACGGUACUGUCCAAAGUUGCU